rnacentral:lncRNA from 1 species
UGGUUUUCCCAUAUUAUCUCCUGUCGUUUCAGAGUCACUGGUUCCUGGGUAUAUUAGUGGGUCGAUAUUGGGUCCUAGACAGAGAUCUCAGGGCUACUGUGAAUGGACCCCCACCAAAGGCAGCUGCACUGAUUGUGGCAAUGACAGUGACAUGUCUAUGUUCAUCUCCUGAUAGUCACCGAGCACUACUGCGUCAGCCAAGCACGCAGGCGACAUUGGCCUUGAAGAGCCUUGCCAAGGGCCUUGUCAUCCCCGGGGCUGACAGGCAACUCCUCCUUGCUCACCGCUGA